GUGCCAGCAGCCGCGGUAAGACGGAGGGUGCUAGCGUUGUUCGGAAUUACUGGGCGUAAAGGGCGCGUAGGCGGCUACGGCAGUCGGGUGUGAAAGCCCGGGGCUCAACCCCGGAACGGCAUCCGAUACUCUGUGGCUAGAGACCGGAAGAGGUGGGUGGAAUACCCAGUGUAGAGGUGAAAUUCGUAGAUAUUGGGUGGAACACCGGUGGCGAAAGCGGCUCACUGGUCCGGUUCUGACGCUGAGGCGCGAAAGCGUGGGGAGCAAACAGGAUUAGAUACCCUGGUAGUCCACGCCCUAAACGAUGCGAGCUGGAUGUCGGGGGCUUGCCCUCGGUGUCGAAGCUAACGUGUUAAGCUCGCCGCCUGGGAGUACGGCGCAAGGUUAAACUCAAAGGAUUGACGGGGCCGCACGAAGCGGUGGAGC
rnacentral:rRNA from 1 species